ACCAGAGCUCUCGGAGAUCAACAAAGGUGCCGCUUUUGAAUGUGAAAGUUUUUUCAAGACUUUUCUAUUUCUUGGUUUGAAUCGUGUGCCUGUAGGGACACAUGCUACCUGCUUACUGGACAGUGACUACUUAGGAUAAGGACUCAGGCAAACACACAAGUGGAGAAGAUAAAUAGUAAUUUGGAACCAAAACUCAGGACGUCCCAGGAGAGGCUAGAUUAGGAAUUCUUUGAUUUGGGAUCACGAAAAUGAAGUAUCCAUAUUUUAACAGAAUGAUUAGUGGCAGAGGAAUCAUCUAAGAAAACUGAGAAGACUCUGCCAGAGUGAUGGGAAGAAAACUAGAUGAGAAAGCACCAUUCUGGAAGACAUGCUCCCAUGAACCAUGGAGAGAAGAGGAGAGGGAAGAAGUUAUUUGUGAUGUCAUUUGCCUGUGUCAUGGCCUGCCUUCCCUAGAUAUUGUCCUAAUGUGAGCAUCACACCUAAGGUACUGAAGUAGAGUUCUGGCUGUUCCUUACGGACAUCUCUGGUGGAGGAUGCAGCAUUCAAGGUUCUAUCUUGGAAGCAGAGACUGUGCCCUCACCAGAUGCUGAACCUGCUGAGCACCCUGAUCUUCCACUUCACCUUCAUCAGAACUGUGAGAAUUAACUUUCUAUUAUUUAUAAAUUACUCAGUCUAAGAUAUUUUGUUAUAGCAGCAGGAUCAGAUUGAGACAAGGAAUUUAUACCAAUUUAGACUAUGCAUGAAUCCACAAGAAUCCAAGUGGCACAAGAAUCUAGCACCAAAAUGGCAGCUCAGGGAAAGCUGAUUCAGUUUAACGUUCAAAAGAAGAGGCAAAACUAAUUCUAGAAACUUGUUCCCUUGAGAUGCUCGGAGACGUGCCCUGGUUUAGAAAGAAAAUACAGAAUGGAAGCUUUGCUCUAAAAGACAGGUUCUUGCAUUAGAAAAAGGGUUACUUCGGACUCACUGGCUCUAAAUAAAUUAGUCAGGAGAAAACUAAUGAAUGUUACCAUGGAAUUAUCCAUAGGACUUAACCUUCUCAAAAUAGUUGUGAGUGGGAUGAAAGAGCAACAAUGAGUUAACCAGAGACACUGGAAGGUGUUAAUUAGAAAAAAAAUAUAUCGUAUAGAAACAAAUGUUGGUACAAGCAUACAAGUAAAAUUUUCAACUGUGUCAUUAAUACUUUCAUUGUAUAAUUAAUUUCUAGGGUGCUAAGAAUUCUGAAUUUAUUGAGGAAAUAAAUGUCUGAUUGCAACAAAAGAAAACUUGUCUGGCUUUGGGAAGGAAGAGGCUUAGGAAAAAAAUUAAAGGCGUCUUUACUAGAAGUUCAAGGUGAAAACACUGCAUUUUUUCUAGUACUUCACUACGUAAUCUAAAGAAGUCUGGAAAGGAGCCAAUGCAUUAAAAAUAUAGCUAGAGGAAACCGUUCAGGGAGAAGACUUGUGGCAGUAGCAGUCUGUGCAAACAUUCUCUUUCUCUUUCUGUCUUUCCAAGCAAAAAUUAAACCUUGAUUAUCCCUUUAUAAAAAUAGGGUACUCAUUUCCCAGUGAAAUGUGGGAACUGCUUCUCUU
rnacentral:lncRNA from 10 species